ACAAUCUGAAAAUUGUAUGAUGCCUGUUACCCCCGACUGGCUCCUGUGCUGGUGGCAUGUAAAAAACACUAUGUGAACGUGAUCAAUGCUGGGCCUGUCUGACUGGCUCCUGUGCCGGUGGCACGUAAAAA